CCUACGGGGGGCAGCAGUGGGGAAUAUUGCACAAUGGGGGAAACCCUGAUGCAGCGACGCCGCGUGAGUGAAGAAGUAAUUCGUUAUGUAAAGCUCUAUCAGCAGGGAAGAAAAUGACGGUACCUGAGUAAGAAGCCCCGGCUAACUACGUGCCAGCAGCCGCGGUAAGACGUAGGGGGCAAGCGUUAUCCGGAUGUACUGGGUGUAAAGGGAGCGUAGACGGCAGUGCAAGUCUGGAGUGAAAGGCGGGGGCUCAACCCCCGGACUGCUCUGGAAACUGUACGGCUGGAGUGCAGGAGAGGUAAGUGGAAUUCCUAGUGUAGCGGUGAAAUGCGUAGAUAUUAGGAGGAACACCAGUGGCGAAGGCGGCUUACUGGACUGUAACUGACGUUGAGGCUCGAAAGCGUGGGGAGCAAACAGGAUUAGAUACCCGGGUAGUC
rnacentral:rRNA from 1 species